rnacentral:rRNA from 1 species
AGAGUUUGAUCCUGGCUCAGAUUGAACGCUGGCGGCAUGCCUUACACAUGCAAGUCGAACGGCAGCACGGGAGCAAUCCUGGUGGCGAGUGGCGAACGGGUGAGUAAUAUAUCGGAACGUGCCCAGUCGUGGGGGAUAACGUAGAGAAAUUUACGCUAAUACCGCAUACGAUCUAAGGAUGAAAGCGGGGGACCGUAAGGCCUCGCGCGAUUGGAGCGGCUGAUAUCAGAUUAGGUUGUUGGUGAGGUAAAAGCUCACCAAGCCGACGAUCUGUAGCUGGUUUGAGAGAACGACCAGCCACACUGGGACUGAGACACGGCCCAGACUCCUACGGGAGGCAGCAGUGGGGAAUUUUGGACAAUGGGCGC